CUCCAGAAGAAAGGAAAAUUGUACACUUUUUCAUACUAGUUGUAAAAAUGUUUCAAAGGACCAGCAACAGGUUGAGAAUCUUACUUCCUGUAUAUGAUACUGAUCACUGUCUCCUAAGACGCAGAGGGAGCAGCAUCAACAACCAUGUCCUCCAUACCAAAGUUGCUAUUCUGCUGGUCUCUUUCAGUCUGUCUUGCCCAAAAAGGCACCAUCACUCAAACCCCUCAACUUCUUAUAGGAAAGGUGGGUUCUGAAGUGGAAAUGAAGUGUCAACAGCUGACGACAGACCAUGAGUGGAUGUACUGGUAUUACCACAGCAGGGGGCAGGGGCUGGAGCUGGUCACCUAUAUGCUGAGGGGGAAUGAGCCCACCUAUGAAGAUGGCUACAAAGUUGGAUACAAGAUGAACAGGACAAAUGGAGACAAACACAGUUCUCUAAGAAUCGAUUCUCCUACAGCCAAGGAUCAAGGGGUUUAUUUCUGCUCCUCCAGUGAUGCACGGUGACACAAAGAGCCUGAGGGCUUUGAUGUAACCUCAGUACCCAAUAAUAAUGAGAGAGAUCAUCCGGCAGCUCAGGAAGAACAUUAACCUCCCACACAGAUGUGAUACAAAGUAACAAGAAAGGAUCAACACAAAAAGUCUAAAAAAAUUCAAAGCAUAAAAAGUAUAACAG